rnacentral:ribozyme from 14 species
AAGAAACACCAUUAUAAGUGAUAUAAAAAUAGAUGAAAAACCCAUUUGUAUGUUUCUUAUCCAAAGACUUGUUUUUGAUCCUUUCAAUAUUUUU